rnacentral:tRNA from 1 species
GGUGAGGUUCCCGAGAGGCCAAAGGGGGCAGACUGUAAAUCUGCUGGCUCCGCCUUCGGAGGUUCGAAUCCUCCCCUCACCA